UGAGGAAGAUAAUGACGGUACUCAACAAGGAAGUGACGGCUAACUACGUGCCAGCAGCCGCGGUAAAACGUAGGUCACAAGCGUUGUCCGGAAUUACUGGGUGUAAAGGGAGCGCAGGCGGGAGAACAAGUUGGAAGUGAAAUCCAUGGGCUCAACCCAUGAACUGCUUUCAAAACUGUUUUUCUUGAGUAGUGCAGAGGUAGGCGGAAUUCCCGGUGUAGCGGUGGAAUGCGUAGAUAUCGGGAGGAACACCAGUGGCGAAGGCGGCCUACUGGGCACCAACUGACGCUGAGGCUCGAAAGUGUGGGUAGCAAACAGGAUUAGAUACCCUGGUAGUCCACACCGUAAACGAUGAUUACUAGGUGUUGGAGGAUUGACCCCUUCAGUGCCGCAGUUAACACAAUAAGUAAUCCACCUGGGGAGUACGACCGCAAGGUUGAAACUCAAAGGAAUUGACGGGGGCCCGCACAAGCAGUGGAGUAUGUGGUUUAAUUCGACGCAACGCGAAGAACCUUACCAAGUCUUGACAUCCCUUGACGAUGCUGGAAACAGCAUUUCUCUUCGGAGCAAGGAGACAGGUGGUGCAUGGUUGUCGUCAGCUCGUGUCGUGAGAUGUUGCGUUAAGUCCCGCAACGAGCGCAACCCUUAUGGUCAGUUACUACGCAAGAGGACUCUGGCCGGACUGC
rnacentral:rRNA from 1 species